UUAGAUAAGGUGAUUACAUCUUAUAUACAGACAUCAAAUACUAACAAGCUACUCGCUUAGUAAAAAGCUACUAAGAUUUUUAAUAUUUCAAACUUAAAAAUAUAAAUGUGCAUGCUUGUGAUUUGAAUUAUAACAUAUAGUAUUCAUUUGCAUUACAGGAUUUCCUGGUGACCUCAAAGUAACAGUGAGCUACAUUCUAAGAAAAAAUUCCCUAACUAUAAUUAUGCAAGCAAAAGCUCUAAACAAACCCACACCAGUAAAUUUAGUUAACCAUGCUUAUUGGAACCUAGGAAACCACAACAGUGGCAACAUUUUAGAUGAAGUUGUUCAAAUUUUUGGAUCAAAAUUCACACCUUUUGACAAUAACCUUAUUCCAACUGGAAAAUUUUCAUCAGUCAAAGGAACACCAAAUGAUUUCCUAAAGCCACAAAUUGUUGGUGCAAGAAUUAAUCAAUUACAAAAAACUAAUGGUUACAACGUUAAUUAUGUGCUUAAUAAAGGAAAAUUAGAGAACAAAGAAGGAUUAAAGGUUGCAGCUAUAGUUAUGGAUAAGAAAUCAGGUAGAGUUAUGAAGCUUAGUACUAAUGCACCGGGAUUGCAAUUUUAUAGUGCUAAUUUUGUGAAGAAUGAUAAGGGAAAAGGAGGGUUUGUUUAUCAACCACGUUCUGCACUUUGUUUGGAGAGUCAAGCUUUUCCUGAUUCUGUUAAUCAUCCUAAUUUUCCUUCAACUAUUGUUACAAAAGAAAAGCCUUAUAAGCAUGUUAUGUUGUUGAAGUUUUCCACCAAAGUCCCACAUGCUUUUUCACAAUUCUAAUUGCUCUUUCUUUCUAAGCUACAUUUACAAUUUGCCAUGUAUGCUUCAUGUAUUUAUUUUGUAAUAAUGCCUUAUACUACCUACGGUACUAUUAGUAUGUUUGGACACAAUAAGUAAUAUUUGUUGUGUUUGUGUCAGUUUUAGGAGAGACUUUUAAAGCUCGUUGAGUUCACAUCGUAUGAAGUCGACAUAGACAUGUAUGCCAGCCACGAUAUAUACACAGACAUCAUCCAUGAUAUAAAUUUGUAGGAAAAUGACCAAGAUAUUUGUGCUGCUAUGUCUUCUCUUAAUAUAAACCCAAAUCCCAAUCGAUUUGAUCAAAAAUCAAACUACACCAACCUGUAAUUCUCAGAUCACUCGAAAAGUUUGUUUUCUUUAAUUUUGAUGUGCAUCUCAUAGGCUGAUAGGGUUUACGUCUCUUCUUGUGUUUCUCUAAUCAUUUUAUGUUUAUUUUAGAUUUUUGGCUUUUGCUUUCUCCACGAUCACAUGUCUUCAAUAUGAAGGCAUAUGUUAGUGGUAAAAACAAAAAUAUAACACCUAAAAUAAGAAAAAAAAAAUGAUUAGAGAAACACAAGUAGAGAAACACAAACCUUUUCAAUGAGUUGAGAUGCAUGAGUAAAUCAAGCCUACCUUUUUUGUGAUCUUAGAAAGACGGGUGAAUGUAGCUUGAUUUUAUGUUCAAAUGUAUUGGGAUUUAGGUUUAGGUUGCGAAAAGGAAAGGAAGGUGUAAAAUCGUGUUUGCCAUUGUUGUUAUGAGUUUUAUUUGAACUUUAAAGGUUAGGGAUGACAAUUUCUAGAAAAGUGACUAGGGUUAAAGGUUUAACAAUGGUGGCAAGUAUGGAGUUCAGUAAGACUAAUAAAACGACACAAACGAUAAGAGAGCUUGAAACAAAAUACAGUGAGUAACACUUAUGAUUUCCUCUCUUUUUUUGAAAUGUUAAGAGUUGGAUUUUGGUCAUUUUGAUAAAAGAUUAAUUAUUUGACAAAAAGAUAGUUUUGAUUUGAUUAACAAAAAUGAUAUUAAAUGUGAUGAGAAUUCAAUUAUGACAAGUUAUGAUUGUUGGUUGAAUUGCCUUGAGUAUUUAUUUGUCAGUAAAGUGAGUUUUAGAACUGUGAAGUUGUACAAUUUAUCUUCCAACAAGUCAAAAAGUAAAUAAAAAAUCAUAUCUAAUUAAUCGCCUCACAAUGAUCUAUCUAUUAAAAAAAAAUAAAAAAUCCUCUUAGAAUAAUUUAUUAAUUCAAUUCGUUUCAUUUGUUUAAAAAAAAAAGUUUUAGAACUAUCAUGUUGUCUCAACUUUUAUCCUAAAAACUCAAUGAUUAAAAGGAUAUUACAUCCACUUAGUUUUUUUGAAACAUUCUCAACUUGAUUGAUUUUUUCCUUUCUAAGAAAUGAGUUCUAAAUUAUGAAAAUGUCACAAUAUGUAUCCUAAAACUCAAAAAUUAAAGGGAUGUCACAUACAAUUAAACUUUUCGAAACAUUUUUCAUUUACUGUAAAAAAUUAAUUUUAGAACUAGUAAACUGUCACACGACUUGUAUCCUAAAACUCAAAGAUUAAAAAGAUGAUACAUUAGUUAAUUCAUCUUUAAAAAUGAUUAAUUUUCUUAUUAUAAAUAAAGCUAUUAAAAGGUGCAAUUUUAAUAAAAAAUAGUAAUAAUAUAAAAAUAUUCAGAUAUAUCAUACGCUAGAAGAAGAUAGAGCAUAUAUUUUAUAUCACGAUGGAUUUGUCAGAAUCACACCACCUUGAUACAAAUCAUACACUUAAUAAUAUAGGGUUUGAUUUACUAUUUGAAGAAGGAGGAGAUUUUGUAGAUUAGUUAUCGGAUUUUUAUAAAAUGUGGGGGGUUUAUAGUGAUGUGUAGAGGAUGGUGAAGAUAUAUGUGGCAAUGUGUUUGGUUUCUCUACUCUCUAUAUUUUCUCCUCUUUUAUUUCCUCUUCUCCAAUGUGUUUGGUUACUAUUUAUACUAGAAAUUAGGUUAAAGCAUUAGGAAGAUGCCAAUUUAUUGAAAGGGUGGAGAGGUGGUUACAAAAAGUCAGAGAUUUAGCGGUACAAAAUUGCAUGUGAAAAAUCCACCCAAAAAAAAUAUUGCAUGUGAAAAUCAUAGCGGUGUGAGCUAAAAAUGGAGAAAAGGAAAAGUAAAUGGUAAAGUGAAUUUGGAAUGAUGCUAGAAAUAUAAGAAUACUUUGAAGUAAUGCUCUGAAAAGGCUACACCACUUUGCUACUCUAAUUUGUUCUGUUUUUAUCAUUUUGUACUUUUGUUUUGUAAUUACUAAAUAAGGUCCUUAAACAAAGUUUCCAUUCAACUGCUAACAAAUGGAAACGGAAAAUGGAAAAUAGAGAAAAAAAACAUGUUAUGAUUUAGAAAAUUUUCACGAGGAUACAAAUCUUGAGGCCGUGUCGCGCCUCCUCUUAUAUAUCAACCUCCUUCUGAUGGGGCUCAUGUGAUGCCUCAAGCUUAGGCUUUGGCGUCCUUUGUUGUACGCUCUUUCCUAGACGAGACUUUCAUGGUCAUGUGUUGCUUCUAAAACGAUUAGGGCGUGCCUCCUUAAUUGAAAGAAAUCAAAAUGCAAAAACACAUCAAUAUAUUGAAGAAAAUUUUGAGAUAAGUCAAAAUUCAUCAUAACUAAACUUGUGAAAGUUAGAUCACAAAAAGAACAGCUAAAUAGGAUUGCCAGAAUUUCCUCAUUCCAUUUAUUUAUUUUUGUAUUGGCCACAAAUUCAAGUUGUGACAAUUAAGAUAAAAAGCUAUACAUACAUGUAAAAUACAUCUUUAUAUUCGGUUUACUAUAAAACCGUCUUCACAUUCAAGUUGUGAACUUUGUGCAAGUGCGAUUGAUGAUUUAUUGAUUUUACACCAAAAGAUGAGACCGAUAGGGAUACUCUCUUAGAUCUUAUAAUUAAAAAAAUCGUAAACUUCUACUUCUAAAGAUCCAUGUUAGUUAUCGUUAUAAUUUUAAAUGGUUUUCAAGUAUAGAUCUAUCAUAUUCAAUCAUUGAUGCCUAGAAACUAUAAUACAAAUCAUAAAUGAAAGUGAGCUAUAGUUUUUUCAUGUGGUUAACCAAUUAUAAUAUAUGUUAAACGAACAUCGAUCAGGUCAUCCUUUCAGCCAUAAAGACGAGGAGGGUCAAGAGUUUAUACUUGCAAAGAGCCACAUCAUAGAGUUUCAAAUGAUUUUUAAAUAUUAUUCCAUUGUAAACCAAUGUAACGUUGGACAGAAAUAGCUCUAAAUAAAAGUUGCUAUAUUUUGUCUUUAUUUUUGGAUUUGAGUGUCAAAAUCAUUAAAUGUCCUAGGAGAACAUGAAGGUCACAACUAAGAACUUAAUUAGCCCAACUUGACUCUAUAUAUUAGUACUAAUCAGUAAGAGAUCCACAUCCCCCGGUGACCAAUAUAGAAACCAUAAGCAGCCACAUUGACUUUUCUCAAAGUUGAAACUUCUCUCCCUAUAUCCUUCUAUAUAUAUAACACCCACUAAGCACCACUCUUAAUAUAUUUGCAUGAUUCUCAUAAUUUCUUAUAUAAAUUUGUAGGAAAAUGACCAAGAUAUUUAUGCUAUUAUGUCUUCUCUUCUUAGCUUUUUCUGGAUUUGUGAAUGGCUCAAUGAAUAAGAAGGAGAAGAAUCAUGAUGAUAUUAAAUUGUUUGAGCUCAAGAAAGGUGAUCUUACUUUGAAGGUCACUAACUGGGGUGCUACACUUGUAUCAUUAGUCCUUCCUGACAAAAAUGGUAAAUACACUUUGAUUAAUUUUUAUGUUGAAAACUAAUUUCCAUUCAUUUAUGUGAAUGUUUUAAAACUUGAACUAGUUCAACAAUCUUGGUUUGAACAAUUUAAAUCAGUUGAAUCAUGACUAAAAGGUUUUUCCGAUAUAACGAUGGAUUCGUUAUUUAUUUUUUUUUUCCUUUCUUCUAAUAGUUGAUUAGGUUUUUAAAACAUUACUUUAUUUGUUAUAUAUUUUCUUUAAUACAUUUUGUAUUAAAUUUUUAAUUAACUAUAUGAUUUAAUUUGUCUCAGGAAAAUUAGGUGAUAUUGUUCUUGGAUAUGAUACUCCAAAGGCAUAUACUGUAAGUCUUGUUCUAAAACAUUGCCUUGAAUAUGUUUACAUUUUGCAUAUUGAGUUCUGUUUUAUUUUCUUGACAUUUAGUUAGGGAAAAGGAUAAAACGUCCAAGUCUUUCUUCAAUUCUUUGAUUAAUAUCCCACACAUAUUUUCUUCUUAGACGGCAAAGUUGCCUAUGUGACACAUUUGGAUUUGGAUUUUACAGUACCAAAAUUGUCUUUUAUUUUAGUUUUUUUUUUCUUGACUCUAUUCAACCUGGCCUAAAAAACUACCUUACAUGAUAAGAGAUGUUUCGUUCCGUAAGUACAACCGAUAUUUGAAGGGAUAUUCCAACGUGUUGAGUUGUAAAUUUGAACCGAUAAUUCUUCACUCACUUAAUAUAUGUUUAGUAUUACAAUAGUUAUAUUAGAAUCACGGCGAUCCCCCGUAAUUUUCUAAAAACUACAUUUGGUAUUUUAUGUAAAAUCACGGUUGAUUACGAUGAUUCUGAUAUAGUCACCAUGAUACAAACCAUAUGUUUAAAAUUUGCAGAAUGAUACAUCAUACUUUGGAGCAACCGUUGGUAGGGUUGCUAAUAGAAUUGGAGGAGCUCAGUUUACUCUAAAUGGAACCCAUUACAAAUUAAUUGCUAAUGAAGGAAACAACACUCUUCAUGGUACGCAAGUUUUAUUUACUUCUCCAUCUCUAAAAACAUGUCGCAGUCAAUCAUUUCAUUUAUGUCAAUACAUAACUUUGAUCUUCAAUAUCUUUAAUUAACUAUGAUAAAAAAAUUAUAAAAAUUUGAUAUUAUAAAAAUAUUCAUUAAAGUAAAUCAAACUUUUACAAACUAACAUUUAUAUUUGUAUAUUAGUUAAAAAGAUAUGGUCAAUGUAAAUCAUGUGAAUAAUACAUGUUAUAAAACUUCGAUUUUUUUUUUUUUUUGAAAUAUUGAGAGUAUCAUAUAAAUGUUUACUAUAAUAAUAUUGUGUUGUACAUAAAAUUAUAAUUAGAAUUAUGUCAACUUCAAUUACUCUGCAAGAACCCACAAUAACUAUAAUAAUUCAGCUAGAUUGCAACCACACAAACAAUUUAAAAAUUGGUUCAUAGAUUAAUUUGGUUUACCACAUCUCAUCAUAUAUAGAAACAUUAUGUCUCUUAUUUUUUUAUAAUUAGGUGGAACUAGAGGAUUCAGUGAUGUUCUUUGGAAAGUAGAAAGGUAUGUAAGAGAAGGUGAUCAACCCCUGAUCAAAUUCAGUUACCACAGUUUUGAUGGUGAACAAGGUAAGCAGUAAACAAUGAAACUUAUAUAUCUUCAUUCCUUCAAUAUUGCAAGUAUUAGGAGAAAAAAAAUAUAAUUAAUUACCAAAAUUAAAAUAUGGAAAAAAAAGAAAUUAGUCUCUCAUUCUAUGAAAAAAAAAUGAAAUUAUAGCUACAUAUAUAUAGCAAUGUUUUAAAAAUUAGAUGGAAGAUAUAACUUAUGAAACUUUCGGAUUACAAUUUAGUUGGUUCAAUCGAUUCAAACAUAGUAAUCCGAUUCAAUUGUUGAAAAAAAUGGAGAAUGCGUUAAUAUAAUUUGAAAUUCUUGUUCACGCAAGAUAGAUGUUAGACACAAUGUUCGGGACAACGUGUAUAAUGUAUUGAUAAUAAAAUAACAAAAAACAGUAAAUAAACGUAAAACAAUAAAGGAGAACACGGAGAAUUGGUAACCCAAUUCAGUGCAACGUCACCUACUCUAAGGUUUUCACCCAAGAAAGGAAAUUCACUCUCAAUAGUAUUAGUUUCUAGUUUUAUAUGAACCAACCUUGUUCGUUCAAUGCCUCUUCACCUUAUACUACCCGUGUAUUUCUAUCUAGGACUUCCCCUGAAUAUGAGAAACCUCUCUCACUUUCUCUCAAUCACUCACCAUACUGAUUGACUCAAUCAUAGUUACAAAUAGAGAUGAAUUACAAUUCAACUAACACAUACUCUAAGCCUUUUGAUAAUCAAUGGCGGCGCUAGAGUGGUAUACACCACAAAGACUCAAACACACAAAACCCUAAAACCUCUGAUCUUUAAUAUUGAUUUUGAUAUCUUGCUAUUUGGAUUGAGACUCCUUAUAUAGUCAUUCAUCCACAUGGGUUUUUUCUUCAAUGGACUAAAAAUAUCAGUUGUUCAUAAAAUAUAUUUGAAACAAAUUUUUCUGAAAAUAACUUGAAGCGCACGAUAUACAUAAACCGACAUCAAUCAAUCAUCUAGAAGCCCACAGUAACUUGUAGUACACGCGAACAAACUAGAUGUGUAGAAACACACGGAAAAUGUCACAACAUCUUGAGUCUAGAUGAUGCACACGUAUUAGAGCAUCUUGUCUCACAUCUUGUCAGUACACAUUGUUUUAACUAAAUGCAACCAAUCAACAUUCAAAAGAACAACAUAAUUAAUUAAAGUGACAAUAAUGAUCAUGUUACAACUUUCUGAAACGAAAUUUGAAUACGAUCCUUUGAAGUUUCAGAGUCAAACUCUUACCGCUAACAUAGAUUGGAAGACUCCAUUACCUCUUUUUCUAUAUAUUUUCUCCUUUGAUAUUGAUAAAAUAGAAAAUUUCUAUGUAUGCUUGUGAUUUGAAAUCGUAUAUCUUUGAAUUACAGGAUUUCCUGGUGACCUCAAAGUAACAGUGAGCUACAUUCUUGGAAAAAAUUCCCUAACCAUAAUUAUGCAAGCAAAAGCACUAAACAAACCUACACCAGUAAACUUAGUGAACCAUGCUUAUUGGAACCUAGGAAACCACAACAGUGGCAACAUUUUAGAUGAAGUUGUUCAAAUUUUUGGAUCAAAAUUCACACCUAUCGACAAAAACCUUAUUCCGACCGGAAAAUUUUCAUCGGUCAAAGGAACACCAUAUGAUUUUCUAAAACCACAAAUUGUU
rnacentral:lncRNA from 1 species